AGUGAACGCUGGCGGUAGGCCUAACACAUGCAAGUCGAACGGCAGCACAGUAAGAGCUUGCUCUUACGGGUGGCGAGUGGCGGACGGGUGAGGAAUACAUCGGAAUCUACUUUUUCGUGGGGGAUAACGUAGGGAAACUUACGCUAAUACCGCAUACGACCUACGGGUGAAAGCAGGGGAUCUUCGGACCUUGCGCGAUUGAAUGAGUCGAUGUCGGAUUAGCUAGUUGGCGGGGUAAAGGCCCACCAAGGCGACGAUCCGUAGCUGGUCUGAGAGGAUGAGCAGACCCACAGGGACUGAGACACGCUCCAGACUCCUACGGGAGGCAGCAGUGUGGAAUAUUGGACAAUGGGCGCAAGCCUGAUCCAGCCAUACCGCGUGGGUGAAGAAGGCCUUCGGGUUGUAAAGCCCUUUUGUUGUGAAAGAAAAGCAGCAGGUUAAUACCCCGCUGUUCUGACGGUACCCAAAGAAUAAGCACCGGCUAACUUCGUG
rnacentral:rRNA from 1 species